rnacentral:rRNA from 1 species
UUGAGAGUUUGAUCCUGGCUCAGAGCGAACGCUGGCGGCAGGCUUAACACAUGCAAGUCGAACGGGCACCUUCGGGUGUCAGUGGCAGACGGGUGAGUAACACGUGGGAACGUACCCUUCGGUUCGGAAUAACUCAGGGAAACUUGAGCUAAUACCGGAUACGCCCUUAUGGGGAAAGG